AGUAGAGUAAGUUGUAGCGGCAGUGGUACCUUACAGAGUAAGAGAAACAAUAAACAAAAACUAACUCUCUAAACUAUUUUGUUACUGUCACAAUUAUUGAAUAUGUAAAACUACUUCACUUCAGUUAUCGUAUACCAGCUAUAUAUAUAGCAAGCCUGAACACUAAACAACUAUUCUAGCUAACAAAAUCUGUUACACUUAUUCUAACAAAAUAUUGAAUUAUUCUUGCUUCUAGCUAACAAAAUCUUACACUUAUUCUAACAGAAUCUUGAAUUAUUCUUGUUUCUCAUCCUCAGGUUUGUUACUCAUUGCCUCAAUAUCCCCCUAAAGCUCAAGUUGGUCUGGACACAAUUCUGAGCUUGAGUUUGAGCCUUUCAAAAGUAGCUGAAGAGAGUGAUUUGGUUAAAAUAUCAGCAAUCUUCUCCACUCCUGGACUGGAUUUGCUGUAAGGAGCACCGUACUCAUAUUAUCACAGAAUAUGGCAGGGGAUGUUGACGAUUUCACCUUCAACUCCAACAACAGAUUUUUGAUCCAAGUAAUCUUAGCUUUACAGGAUGCUAGACUGCAAAAUUCUGCCUCUGUUGAGGACCUAGAGAUGGUAGUUUGCCUCCUACAAGACCAAGAUAUCAAAUUAGUGCCUAAGAAGAUGCAAAAAUCAGAAACUGACCUUCAAUCCUCGAUGUCCACAGCCCAAUCAAAAUCAAAGAAACCAUACAAUCUAUUAUCUUCGCAUUUGUGCAUGACCAAGCCAUGAUCCUUAGUGCCUUGUAAAUAGCGCAAGAUUCACUUAACAACUUUCCAGUGAGCCACCAAGGAUCAUGCAUAAAUUGGCUCACUUUUCGAACUACAAAGCAUAAGUCAGGCCGGGUAAUGGUUACAUAUUGGAGAGUACCUACUACAGAUCUGAAUAAUUUGGGAUCAUCAAACCUUUCAGAACCAGUAGACAUCAAUUGAAGUGAAGUUAUCAUAGGAGUGGCCAUUGAACUAGCUGCUGCCUUACCUAACUUUGAAAGUAAAUCUUGAAUAUACUUAGUUUGAGAAAGAUAUAAUUGGCUAGUGUCAGUUUGAAGAAUUUCAAUACCAAGAAAAUAUGACAAAUUUCCAAGAUCUUUAAGAGUGAAAGUGUUGUGCAAUUGUUUAAUCGUAUUGUCGAUCUCAAUUGGAUUAUCCCCAGUCAUAAUGAUGUCAUCAACAUAACAAAGAAUAUAUAAAGCAUAGUUAGUUCCAUAUUUAAUGAAGAGAGAUGUGUCUGAUUUGGUACUUUUAAAACCAAAGGUAUGUAGAGUGUUACUUAAUUUGAGAAACCAUUCUUUAGAAGCCUGUUCAAGGCCAUUGAGGGACUUAUUUAAUCUGCAAACAUGAGUAUCAAAUUCAGAUGCAAAGCUAAUUGUUUGUUUUAUGUAAAUUACUUCAUUCAAUUCACCAUUUAAAAAGGCAUUGCUAAAAUCUAGCUGCCUAAUGAUCCAAUCAUGAGAUAAAGCAAUGCUAAGAAUAAUUCUAAUGGUUGUAGGUCGAAUUACAGAUGAGAAAACUUGUUCAAAAUCAAAACUUUCAGAUUGGUGGAAGCCCUAUGUCACCAAUCGAGCUUUAUACUUCUGAAUUUUACCAUUGGGAAGCCUUUUAAUAGUAAAGAUCCACUUACAAUCAGUAAUCUUUGCGUUAUUUGGUUUUGGCACAAGGGUCCAUGUUUUAGUUCUUGUAAGAGCAUUAAAUUCUUCAAUCAUGGCUUCUUUCCAAUGAGGAAUUGCCAAGGCAGCAACAGCAGUUUUAGGAACUUGUUCAUCUUGUUAGUGAACUUCUAGAUUAGUAGAGAAAAUCCUGGGUUUAGUAUCCCCAUUUUUGGACCUAGUUAGCAUUGGAUGUUGAUUCUUUUAUUUAUUAAGGUGGUCAUUCUAUUGAGAACAAUUUGUAGGCUGAAUAACAGGAGUACUAGUAUUUGUAAUGGUGUUAUUAGAUAUAGUAGUCUGAUUAGGAAGAUGACUAUUACUAAAGGGUAAACCGACUUCUAUUCUUGAGAUAUGAGUAAGGUUGUCAUCAGAAUUAGUUUUUAAAGAUGUCUCAGGCUGAGAGUUUGUCUGAGUGUUUGGUUGAGGAGCUCAUAUGAGAGAAUUAGAGGUAUUAUGUGUAGAACCAACGCCAAGAAUAGCAUUCUGCAUAGUAUCACAAUGAAUGUUAAAAGGUUCAGGCUUAAUAAAUAAUUCUUUAUAAGGAUAAAUAUCCUUAUUAAAAAUAGUAUUUCGAGUAAUAUAAAUCCUAUCAUAAGAAGAUAAACACUCAGGGGGUGUGUGGUUGGAGGAAAUACAAGUAUAUUUCAAGAAAUUUUGAUAUGAGAAUGUCUUAUUUCUAUAUUUGCUUCAAAAUUUUAAAAAUUAUUUCUGGAUAUUUUAUUUUAAGGAAUUGAAUUACCACCAAUUUAAUUUCUAUCCCUCUUCUAGUUAUUUUUAAUUCCAAUGAAAAUGGAACGUAAAUAAUGAAAUAAAAAGACUAAAUUACCCCUAUUAUUUAAUACAGAUUUCACCUUCUUUUUCAUUUCUCUCUGAAGAACGAAGCCCUAGCAGAGCAUUUUUUUUCCCCCCAAAUCAGUGAGUUUCACAACGCCACUGCUACCGGAGCCGGCACCAGCGCCGCCGUUACUCUAAACAGAAGAUUUGUCUCAUUCUCUUCUCCGAUUCAUGUUCGUACUGCUUCUCUCUGUGAAUUUUCUUCCAAUCUCACAUUAAGGUUUGAGUUUUUCCUGAAAUCAGUGGAGGCUUCACCAACGCCACCGCCAUUGCAGUUGCGCCGAUGCCAACAUUACCCUAAAUAGAAGAUUGGUCUCCUUCUCUUCUUCGAGUUCAUGUUCGCAUUGCUUUUCUCUGCGAAUUCUUUUCGAAUCUCUCAUUAAGAUUGAUACAGUCACUUUUUCCACAAGAACCAGAAUUUAAAGGCCGAAGAGUGGUUACGUUCCACAAUUAGAGAGACUUCAUAAUCUUCCGGCAUCAUCAAGAAUGAAAGAGAAUUCUUGACCUAAUUCAAAAUAAAUUAAGCGUCAAUGGACACCACACGAAGAUGCAAAACUAGUUGAAUGUUUAGUGGAGCUUGCAACUACUUCUUGGAACUGUGAUAAUGGCACAUUCAAAUCUGGUUAUGAAAAACAUUUGGAAAAAAUGCUUCAUGAAAAGAUCCAUAGAUGUGAUCUUAAGGCUAAUCCACACAUUAAAUCAAGGGUGAAAUUGCUAAAAAGACAAUAUUUUGUAAUAGUUAAGAUGAUGGGCACGGCUGGGAGUGGAUUUGGUUGGAACGACAGAUAAAAUGAUUGUGGUGGAGCGAUAAAUUUGCAAUAAAUGGAAGAGUUCCCAUCCUAAUGCUAAUGGCCUCUACAAUAAACCAUUUUCACAUUUUGAAGAGUUGGGAAUAGCAUUUGGUAGAGAUAGGGCUCAAGGAGGCAAUGCAGAAAAUGUAACUCAAGCAGUUGCUACAAUGGAGGCUGAGCGCGAAGCAACCUUGAGUGAUCGGCAAGUGAAUGAAAACACCCAAGUAAAUUUGGAAGACCGAAAUAGAAUAUGAAGCUGAUUUUCAAGUACGUAAGAAAUUGACUCUAAUUUGGAGUGAUUUUUCAUUAGUGCAAUAGUUACUUUUUUUUAUUCUUCAUUAGUUCAAUAGUUACUGUUUUCUUUAUUCUUGAUUCACUUAUUCAUAUAUUAUUCAUAUAUUACUCGGUUACAUUUACUUUAACCUGUGACUGUGACUAGCCUUAACUAUUCCCAUCAUGUUGAGCAUUUAGAUAGAAAUAUUCUAUUAGGUUCUGUUUAGUUAGUUAGUGUUGUUAGUCUUGCUGGCCAAGGCAGAGGUAAUGCUUGUAUAUACAAGUGUAGAGCAUAUAUAAUCAUUUAGGCUACUUGUUCUUCAUUGCUACCAAUAUUGAAUAAUCUUCUUCAAGUUUAUAGUUUCAUCAUCUCGAGCUUUCUUCUUUCUUUCUUUCUUUUAUUUGCAACACACUCAUCAGUGUUGCUUUCAAUUUUAAGAGCCUCCAACUCCUGGUGCUCCUGCUGCUCCCGGUGCUUUUGCUGCUCCUAAUUUUUCAUCUAUAGAAAGGAAUAAAAGAAAAAAAGGGAGCAAAAGUGAGGAAGUGAUUGACAUAGUAACAGAAUCAAUGAGAGAUAUGAAAGGUGCUUAUCAAGAACACACAGCCAUUUUAGUUGAUAUGGUUUCUUAUUUUAAGCAUGAGAAAGAAGGAAUUGAGCGCAGAAUAAAGCUAAUGGCACUGUUGAGGGAUGUUCUUGGUUUAAGCGUUGAUGAUAGAAUGAAGGCUAGCCUUAGCAUUAUAAGGGACAAUAGUCUGAUCGACAUGGUUUUCCAACUUCAACUGGAGGAACUUUUGCCACUUUUGAAGAAAUUGAUUUAAAUCUUGCUAUUUUUAUAGAUUAUAUUAAAUUGUCAGUUUUUAAGUAUUUAAUACAUGUGUUUAGAUGUUGACAUUUGUUUUGUAUAAGUUCAAUUAUGAAUUAUGAGACGAAAUAUGGAUUAUGAAAAUUUUAGAAAUUUAGAUAAGUAUUUUGUGUUAA